GGAACUGCAGCUUUGUUCUUGCUGUCUCCCUUGGAUCACUUGCUUGGGGGGAACCAGCUGCCAUGUUGUGAGAUGCUCAAGCAGCUGUAUGGAGGAGCCCAUGUGGAAAAAAACUGAGCACCCCUCACAACCGAUAUUCCCUUACCAGGAGUGUGGCAAGCCUCCCUGGAAGCAGACUCUUCAGCACCAGUCAAGCUUUCAGAUGCUGCAGCCGUGGGCAAUGACUUUGCUGCAAUCUUAUGAGAGACUAAGCCAGAACCACCCAGCUAAGUGGCUCCCACAUUCAUGACUCACGAAAACUGUGUCUUGGUUUUGAGCUAUAAAUUCUUG
rnacentral:lncRNA from 1 species